rnacentral:tRNA from 1 species
AUAUUGUUAUUUUGGCAGAUUAGUGCAUUAAAUUUAGAAUUUAAUUAUGUAAUUUAUUUUACAAAUAAUAC